UAUACUAUAUGAUUCCAUUUAUAUUAAAUAUCCAGAAAGCACAUUAGUGGUUGUCAGGGGCUGGGGAGUGGAGUGGGAAGGAGGAUGGAACGUUACUGCUUAAUGGGUUACUAGGUUUCCUCUGGGGUAAAGAAAAAGGCAUGUUCAAAUUGUCCU